rnacentral:lncRNA from 1 species
AAUUUAGUUUGAGCUGAACCAUUUUACAUAGUCGAUGAGCGAGCUUUCAAACAAUUAUAAUUACAUGUACCUUGACAUGUCAUUACUAUAAAUUUUAGGAAAAACCUCAACUACUCUUAUGGCUUAGUGUUUUCUCACUUUAACACACAUGUGGUUUAAAGUGUAUUUUUUUAAUACCUUAUAAUUUCGUUUUACUCUUUUUGUUAACUUUUAUGUUAAAUCAGUAAUAAAGUUAAAACCAUAAAGUAGUACUAGAAAAAAAAUUCUGUAAAAGAUAUCGAAGUUUUUUCUAUAUAUUUUAACAAAAUAGUUAAUGAAUGAACUGACAAAAAGAGAAAAAUGUAAUCAUAUAUACGUACUAAAGUAAGAAAACACUAACACUCCCUUAAAUUUUUUGGAAAAAAAAUGUAU